rnacentral:rRNA from 1 species
ACGAUUGACGGAGCGAAGCGACGUCAAAGCGUUCAUUAAAGUCGAGUUGGCUUAGGGAUACGUUCGUUGGGUAGGGGAGCGUUCUGUAAGCCUGUGAAGGUGGCCUGUGAGGGUUGCUGGAGGUAUCAGAAGUGCGAAUGCUGACAUAAGUAACGAUAAAGCGGGUGAAAAGCCCGCUCGCCGGAAGACCAAGGGUUCCUGUCCAACGUUAAUCGGGGCAGGGUGAGUCGACCCCUAAGGCGAGGCCGAAAGGCGUAGUCGAUGGGAAACGGGUUAAUAUUCCCGUACUUGGUGUUACUGCGAAGGGGGGACGGAGAAGGCUAUGUUGGCCGGGCGACGGUUGUCCCGGUUUAAGCGUGUAGGCUGGUUUUCCAGGCAAAUCCGGAAAAUCAAGGCUGAGGCGUGACGACGAGGCACUACGGUGCUGAAGCAACAAAUGCCCUGCUUCCAGGAAAAGCCUCUAAGCAUCAGGUAACAUCAAAUCGUACCCCAAACCGACACAGGUGGUCAGGUAGAGAAUACCAAGGCGCUUGAGAGAACUCGGGUGAAGGAACUAGGCAAAAUGGUGCCGUAACUUCGGGAGAAGGCACGCUGACACGUAGGUGAAGUGAUUUACUCAUGGAGCUGAAGUCAGUCGAAGAUACCAGCUGGCUGCAACUGUUUAUUAAAAACACAGCACUGUGCAAACACGAAAGUGGACGUAUACGGUGUGACGCCUGCCCGGUGCCGGAAGGUUAAUUGAUGGGGUCAGCGCAAGCGAAGCUCCUGAUCGAAGCCCCGGUAAACGGCGGCCGUAACUAUAACGGUCCUAAGGUAGCGAAAUUCCUUGUCGGGUAAGUUCCGACCUGCACGAAUGGCGUAAUGAUGGCCAGGCUGUCUCCACCCGAGACUCAGUGAAAUUGAACUCGCUGUGAAGAUGCAGUGUACCCGCGGCAAGACGGAAAGACCCCGUGAACCUUUACUAUAGCUUGACACUGAACAUUGAGCCUUGAUGUGUAG